CCUACGGGAGGCAGCAGUGGGGAAUUUUGGACAAUGGGCGCAAGCCUGAUCCAGCCAUGCCGCGUGCGGGAAGAAGGCCUUCGGGUUGUAAACCGCUUUUGUCAGGGAAGAAAUCCUUUGAGUUAAUACCUCGGGGGGAUGACGGUACCUGAAGAAUAAGCACCGGCUAACUACGUGCCAGCAGCCGCGGUAAUACGUAGGGUGCGAGCGUUAAUCGGAAUUACUGGGCGUAAAGCGUGCGCAGGCGGUCUUGCAAGACAGGUGUGAAAUCCCCGGGCUUAACCUGGGAACUGCACUUGUGACUGCAAGGCUGGAGUACGGCAGAGGGGGAUGGAAUUCCGCGUGUAGCAGUGAAAUGCGUAGAUAUGCGGAGGAACACCGAUGGCGAAGGCAAUCCCCUGGGCCUGUACUGACGCUCAUGCACGAAAGCGUGGGGAGCAAACAGGAUUAGAUACCCUGGUAGUCCACGCCCUAAACGAUGUCAACUGGUUGUUGGACGGCUUGCUGUUCAGUAACGAAGCUAACGCGUGAAGUUGACUGCCUGGGGAUCGGCGCAGUUGAACUCAAAGGAUUGACGGNNGNGAGNGCGAGACGACGACGAGGGAGGAGG
rnacentral:rRNA from 1 species